AUGGAGGACGCAGCGGUCGAGGAGGCGGAGGUGAGCGGCGCGGGCGAGUUCGCGCCGGCGCUCGUCGCCGCCCACCCGCUCGGCCACUCCGUCGCCGUCGCCGUCGGGCCCGAGCUCCGCGUGUUCGAUCUCAAGGGUGGUUGUGCAGUUUCGUUGUCAGAUGAUUCUGGCGGUUGUUCUCAUUCAGAUGCUAUUAGAGCAAUUUCGUUCAGUGUUGAUGGUGCCUUGUUCGCAUCUGCGGGCGAUGAUAAGCUUGUUAAGAUCUGGAAGACUGACUCGUGGCGCUGCAUCCAGACUAUAACUUCUGAAAAGAGGGUUAGCGCAGUUGCUAUUAGCAAAGAUGGCCUGUAUGUAACAUUUGCAGAUAAGUUUGGUGUCAUUUGGUUAGUUACUGUGGGGGAACAUGGCGGAGGGCAGGUGUCAUCUGAUGAUAACAAACCUGUCUCAAUUUAUGGUCACUACUGCAGUAUUAUUACUAGCAUGAAAUUCUCACCAGAUGGACGGUUCAUUGCCACUGCUGAUCGGGACUUCAAAAUUCGAGUUACAUCAUUCCCAAAGGAUCCUGUAAAAGGGGCUCCCCAAAUACAGAGCUUUUGCCUUGGACAUACAGAAUUCGUUUCUUCCAUUGCCUUCACAAGCCUUUCAGGAGGAUCAAGCUUUCUAUUAUCUGGAGGCGGUGAUUCAACUGUUCGGUUAUGGGACUACAUAAAUGGCUGCCUCCUUGAUACAUAUGAAGUCAAAGACAAGGUGGGAGAACAGCCAGAUGAAACUGAAGAUAGCAAUCUAGCCAUUGCAGACUUGUGUGUGACAAAUGAUGACUCACUGGUUGCUGUAGCUAUUCAAAGUUUGAAUGGCAUAAUGCUCUUAGCAUGCGAUCUCGUAGCAAAGAAGUUAUCUUUUCUAAAGGUGAUUACAACGGAAAAGAGCUACAUCCCCACUAGCUUAGCCUACAGCUCAUCCGAUGAUCUCCUGUGGACCGUCAUGGGCGCAUCAAACAUGCCUAACCAGGCCGCCUCCCAGUUAUUAACCCGUGUCAGAAUCAUCCCCCGGUUCCAAAAAGAUCUAUCAGCCUCGGCUGACCACGACCCUGCGGUCCUGGAGGACAGCGAAGUACCACAUGGCGAGAAGCUUCUGUUGGCGCUGCAGGGAAGCCUUGACGCCUCAAAGCAGGAGGAGGUGCUGGCCGCGGUGCUCGCCGCCCUCAGAGUGUCGAUGCACAAGAUGCUGGUGAAGAAGAACUACUCGGAGGAGAGGCGGGAGCAGCGGAAGAGGGGCCGGAAUGAUAAGAAGAUCAAGAAGUAG
rnacentral:rRNA from 1 species